rnacentral:rRNA from 1 species
UACAGAGGUCUCAACCGUUGUUCGGAUUCAUUGGGCGUAAAGGGUGCGUAGGCGGUCGUGCAAGUCGGAUGUGAAAUCUCAGGGCUCAACCCUGAAACUGCAUUCGAUACUGCGCGGCUAGAGUGCUGGAGGGGAGACUGGAAUUUACGGUGUAGCAGUGAAAUGCGUAGAUAUCGUAAGGAAGACCAGUGGCGAAGGCGGCCUGCUGGGCAGAUACUGACACUGAGGCGCGACAGCGUGGGGAGCAAACAGG